AGUGAACGCUGGCGGUAGGCCUAACACAUGCAAGUCGAACGGCAGCACAGUAAGAGCUUGCUCUUACGGGUGGCGAGUGGCGGACGGGUGAGGAAUACAUCGGAAUCUACUUUUUCGUGGGGGAUAACGUAGGGAAACUUACGCUAAUACCGCAUACGACCUACGGGUGAAAGCAGGGGAUCCUCGGACCUUGCGCGAUUGAAUGAGCCGAUGUCGGAUUAGCUAGUUGGCGGGGUAAAGGCCCACCAAGGCGACGAUCCGUAGCUGGUCUGAGAGGAUGAUCAGCCAAACUGGAACUGAGACACGGUCCAGACUCCUACGGGAGGCAGCAGUGGGGAAUAUUGGACAAUGGGCGCAAGCCUGAUCCAGCCAUACCGCGUGGGUGAAGAAGGCCUUCGGGUUGUAAAGCCCUUUUGUUGGGAAAGAAAAGCAGCAGGUUAAUACCCCGCUGUUCUGACGGUACCCAAAGAAUAAGCACCGGCUAACUUCGUG
rnacentral:rRNA from 1 species